UACGAAGGGGGCUAGCGUUGCUCGGAAUCACUGGGCGUAAAGCGCACGUAGGCGGCUUUUUAAGUCAGGGGUGAAAUCCUGGAGCUCAACUCCAGAACUGCCUUUGAUACUGAGAAGCUUGAGUCCGGGAGAGGUGAGUGGAACUGCGAGUGUAGAGGUGAAAUUCGUAGAUAUUCGCAAGAACACCAGUGGCGAAGGCGGCUCUCUGGACCGAGACUGACGCUGAGGCGCGAAAGCGUGGGGAGCAAACAGG
rnacentral:rRNA from 1 species